CUGAUAGCCCUGGAAACUGAAAGUUCUCCAUUUAUUCAUGGGAAAGGUACAGCACAGGGAGCAGCAAGGUUCCUCCACACCAACCUAGCAAAGUCCCUCAUCCACAACCUGGAGACCAUCUUUAAUGGUGGGAGGAAAGUUCACCUUCAAUGGCCCUUUCAUUGAUUUAGUCCA
rnacentral:sRNA from 1 species